ensembl:lncRNA
CAAUUUCCUCUAACAUAUGCGGAUAAUAAUAUUUGAGUGACUGGAUUUUUACAUAGAAAUAUACUAUCUGCUACAAAGUAUUCCUCUUCUCCCCAGGCAUACCACCAUCCACGUCGGAGUCCCGACCCAGUUUGGACUCAGCCCUAGUGGAAAGGAAUAAGCAUGUUUGGGAGAAGGACCCAUAUCCAGAUGACCGGGACUGGUCCAGGAGCCAGGAACGGAGGACGUUCAAGUUCAAGGUUUUUAUUUUGUCAAAUGAACAACAAACAUGCAGUAGCAGUCUUUGCUGGCAGUGACAUUCCAGUGUUCUAGGCUCUUCUCGACAGUGCAAGUAAGAGUAGAAAGUACAAUUAAAUAAAUACAAUAAAAUAAAGAAAGAAAAUAAAAGAGUGAGAGUGAUAGAUGCGUGAGACCGAGGACAGUGAGGAACGGGAAGAGGAUGCAGAGGACCCUUUGGACGCGAUCGCUGUGAUCGUGAGUUUGUGAACAAGGUUGGGCUGGGUGCGACCCCUAGUGGUCAAUCUUAUCCGUUUUUAUUCUUCAAAUGUACUCCUAUCCAAUAUAUCUUCACAAAAAUAAGUACAAAUGCAGUGCCAGUAGAAAACAAACACAGCACCUUUUACAAAACAUAUUUAUUUUUAUAUAAGGAAAACAGAUUACAGUUGUGCACAGCACAUACGUACAAAAAUAAAGAAAAACAUUUAUAAUAUACUAUUUCACAUACACUUCAUCGUAAUCUUUUGUUUUCAAGACCAAAUGAUGAAGAAGGAUAGAGAAGUCUGCCGUUUCAAACUUUAUUUACAAUCAUCUUAAUAAUCCCAACUAAGGCAGAAGGUGAGGUAUACGCAAGGAGGGCCUCUGACUGCCUCUCCCAGUGCAGGAAUAGAAAACCCAGGUGAAAAGACCACGGCGGUGGGCACACACGCAGACACCAGUCCGAAGAGUUUCAGUCCAGGUGUUACCACAAAGGAGCCAAACUGGCGGCUGAACCGAUCAUUGAUAGAACUGACUGGAACUGGAGUCAAACCAGCUCUUUUUAGAAAUCUUUUCCUCCAAAAUUGACGGGGUUUUAAAAAUAAUCAGCAGAAUGUACUGAUAUACCACUACAUAUUGGAAGAAAACCCCUGUAUCUCUCCAUUGUCCUUUUGUGUCUUUUGUAACAUCCACAACCUUUUGAUUUAUUUUCUGUACACAUAACAUCAUAACAUAUUACAGCAUGACCCAGAAACCAUAUUGCCCACACAUUAAUACAAAUCACAUUGGGGAUUUUUCUUCUCUCGUGAUCAUGAAUGGAAAAUAAUAUUCAUCAAGCAUGAUUACACAUUGUCCAACAGAACCGAUCCCUGGAUGUGCAUCAUUUCCUGGACAAUGACAUCAGACGUCAUUGUGGUAUUCACUCCUAUUUUAAGAGUUGUGAAACACAGUUUUCAGUCUCUCACUCCGCCAUUCCUGGAAGUGUUUGAAUAUAUCUGACUAAGUAUUUUGCUACAUCCUCUUUCAUCCUCCUAUGUAUAUGAGGCCACCUGUUGUGCACCCCGUAGCUUGUGCAUGCUGGAGAUCCGACAUGCUAACCCGUCCGGACGAGAAUGCGGUAAUCACUUUGAAAGCACCGCUGUUAUUCCUGUCCCAAGGUAAGUGGAUCCAAAGACAUCCAAUCUUUCUUUGGCAAAACAAACACAAAUAAAUCAAGUUCAAACACCGCUCAACAUCACACAUCCGCCCACACUAACCUAGAAUAUUGCACUUUUGGAAGUGACAUCCGAUCCAUCCAUAAACUCUUAAAGUGAACCAUCACAUGCAUCACUUCUGAGCUGAGACUGCAACUUUCUAAAAGACUUAGAAAGUUAGUAGAUGAGGUAUAUAACAUGCUUAACUGUUGACAGCUAAAAGGUUUGAGCAUUCCAUAUAGCAAGCAAAUAGCAUUAAGAAGGAUUAUGCAAGGGAAAUAAAAUACAAAUGGUUAAAAAUAACAAAUGGCACUCACAAAUUACUGCUGAGAUUUCCGCCCAUUACAUCCCUGUCCCCGCUGACCUCAGGUGUUUAAGGGCCCGCUACAUCCCUGUCCCCGCCGACCUCAGGUGUUUGAGGGCCCGCUACAUCCCUGUCCCCGCUGACCUCAGGUGUUUGAGGGCCCGCUACAUCCCUGUCCCCGCUGACCUCAGGUGUUUAAGGGCCCGCUACAUCCCUGUCCCCGCUGACCUCAGGUGUUUGAGGGCCCACUACAUCCCUGUCCCCGCUGACCUCAGGUGUUUGAGGGCCCACUACAUCCCUGUCCCCACUGACCUCAGGUGUUUGAGGGCCCGCUACAUCCCUGUGUCUCCACCGUGUAAAACCACAGGAUUUAAGCAACUGAGCAGGAAGGACCUACGACACAGCGACUGAGAGGAGUGACCUACGACAGAGCGACUGAGAGGAGUGACCUACGACACAGCGACUGAGAGGAGUGACCUACGACACAGCGACUGAGAGGAGUGACCUACGACACAGCGACUGAG